rnacentral:rRNA from 1 species
CGAUUAGAGUUUGAUCCUGGCUCAGAUUGAACGCUGGCGGCAUGCCUUACACAUGCAAGUCGAACGGCAGCGCGGACUUCGGUCUGGCGGCGAGUGGCGAACGGGUGAGUAAUACAUCGGAACGUACCCUGUUGUGGGGGAUAACUAGUCGAAAGAUUAGCUAAUACCGCAUACGACCUGAGGGUGAAAGUGGGGGACCGCAAGGCCUCACGCAGCAGGAGCGGCCGAUGUCUGAUUAGCUAGUUGGUGGGGUAAAGGCCCACCAAGGCGACGAUCAGUAGCUGGUCUGAGAGGACGAUCAGCCACACUGGGACUGAGACACGGCCCAGACUCCUACGGGAGGCAGCAGUGGGGAAUUUUGGACAAUAGGGGCAACCCUGAUCCAGCAAUGCCGCGUGUGUGAAGGAGGCCUUCGGGUCGUAAAGCACUUUUGUCCGGAAAGAAAUCGCGCUGGUUAAUACCUGGCGUGGAUGACGGUACCGGAAGAGUAAGCACCGGCUAACUACGUGCCAGCAGCCGCGGUAAUACGUAGGGUGCGAGCGUUAAUCGGAAUUACUGGGCGUAAAGCGUGUGCAGGCGGUUUUGUAAGACAGGCGCGA